rnacentral:rRNA from 1 species
AGCGAACGCUAGCGGCGGGCUUAACACAUGCAAGUCGAGCGGAGGGUUUCGGCCCUCAGCGGCGAACGGGUGAGUAACACGUGGGUAACGUACCCUUUGGUGGGGAAUAACCUAGGGAAACCUGGGCUAAUACCGCAUAUGUCCUUCGGGAUGAAAGCCUUCGGGCGCCAGGGGGAUCGGCCCGCGGCCCAUUAUUUAAUCCUAGUUGGUAGGGUAACGGCCUACCAAGGGUACGAUGGGUAGCUGGUCUGAGAGGAUGAUCAGCCACACUGGAACUGAGACACGGUCCAGACUCCUACGGGAGGCAGCAGUGGGGAAUAUUGGACAAUGGGCGCAAGCCUGAUCCAGCCACGCCGCGUGGGUGAUGAAGGCCUUCGGGUUGUAAAGCCCUGUCGGGAGGGACGAAGUCUUCGGAUUGACGGUACCUUCCAAGAAAGCACCGGCUAACUCCGUG